UGAGUUGGUUGGUAUGGAGAUGAGUUGGUUGGUAUGGAGAUGAGUUGGUUGGUAUGGAGAUGAGUUGGUCGGUAUGGAGAUGAGUUGGUCGGUAUGUGGGAGGAGGUGCGGCCCUUGUGGGGUGGAUAAUGUCAUUGCCGAUGCGCUGUCACGUGCUCCUUUGCCGUGAAUGAAUGUGAUGAGUGGUGCCAUUUCAUGCUGUUUUGUGUUGUGUUCUUCUGUCUGUUCUCUUAAUUUGCUUCGCCAGGUACCAGGGUUGCUGAGGUCAGGUGGAAAAGGAGCAUGACAUGGGCAGGGUGGAGUUAUGUGUUUUCUUUCUUAGAUUUGUCUUGUCUUUGAAUUAAUAUAUUUUUGGGGAGGAUAAUUUCAGGUCAAUUUGGUUAGUAUGUGCCGGUGUUCCCUUUGGUACACCGACUUUAUGGGGGGGGGUGUGACGACCCCGCCUAUUAUUGACUACCUAUCUUCAUUAAGGUGAUCAGCUGAUGACAUCAGCUGGAUCUGGAGCACCUGGGACCGGUGCUCCAGCCGAAUAAAAGAGCAGCUGAUUGCCUGUCGGGGGCGCUACUCCUUGGCUCCUUGCAGGCGUCCACACCUUUUGGGGUUUCGUUGGCGGUUUUGUUAAAGUUAUGCUUUGUACGGAAAUAAACCUGUAUUUUAUAUUGGUAAAUGCACCGUCUCUCCCGUUUUUGUCAUCGCCGCUGAGCCGGGUUGUGACAUAAUGUGGCGAGUGAAAAAUAUGGCCUGAAAAUAUCAGGAAACAGCACCAAACUUGUUUGGCAAUUUUUUGUUUAUUCAGAGUUCCACAUACGGGAUAGCAAUAUAGUUACAGUAAUAAAGAUUUUUCCAGUCUCAACAAAAACAUGAAUAGCGUGUGUUGUCGUUUUUUAACCCCUCUCUCAGUAUUUGAAACUACAGGUUGUAAAUGCACAGAUAAUUUCAAAAUGCUUUUCUGUCAGUAACAAGUCAAUAUUUGUACUGAUUGGCCAUCAGAAGUUCAGAGUUCGAUAGAUACAUCAAUUUUUUUGGUCCCGUCAUUUGAAAUCCAAUGAUAUUCUAUCAUGAAAGACUCAGAAUAAGUAUUCACAUUUAGUUACUGAAGCCAGUUAGAUUUUUUGUUAAAUACAAUUCUAACUGAAAAAAGUGAUACAUUUGUUAAAGUAAAGUUCUGAAAUUGAUACACAUUUGAUUUACUUUUUACAGGCUUCGUCUAUAAAAGCCCCCCUCAUUUCUGUGUUUCUAAACUAUCGUUUAAAGUAGUGAUGCACCGAAUAUUCGGCCACCGAACAUGUUCGGCCGAAAAUGGCCCAAAACACAAUGUUCGGUUUCGGCCGAAGGAGUAAAAAGGCCGAACAUAAUACACCAAACUUUUUUAUUUAUUUAUUAA